AGUUCCCUAGCCCAGAAAAGCGGAUUGGAGCCCGGGAAGCUCAUUGCGAUUCCAAAGGUAAGGACUGGCCCAGGUCGUGGAUUAGCCUGCAAAAGCAUUUGGGGGUCCUGGGCGGGCCAUUCGCUGAAGUCCUAGGCUUAAGUCCGAACUCCCCCCAGGACGAGGCAGGAGGAUUGCCUGAGCCUAGUAGUUCAAGACCAGCCUGGGCAGCAGAGGGAGACCACCAUCUCUACAAAUAAUAAAAAUAUUUGCUAAACCUGGGUUGCCAGGUUUAGCAAAUUUAAUGCCCAGUUAAAUUAGAAAAAUAGCUCUAAUUCCUGAAAAAUGUGUGAGUGGCAGAAAAAACAGCUGAAUCCAGGACAUUUGCGUACAGCACUGUUCCAUACGGACAGGGCGCCUCGCAAGCUUCCCCUGGCUCCAGGUGAAGAGAGGAAGUUCUGGAAUUAGGCAGACUUGAGUUCGAGUCGCACUAGGCCACUGAACACUGUGUGAGCUUAGAGAAAUCAUUUCACUUCUCUAAGCCUCCGUUUCCUCAUCCGGAAAAUAAAGACCAUCAUGAUAUGUAAAGUGCACGGCACAACAGAAAGCUCUCAAGAAAUAGGAAUUGCUGUUGUUUUUGCCCUGCCCACCUCCUUGAACCCUUCCUUCCUGUUCCUGCCGCCUCUUCUCCACCACCCGCCACCUCCCAAUCACUAUUAAGUCCUGGCCUGAAAGCAGGAAGAACAGGACAGACCAGGGUCAGCUCUCCAUUGUACAGCCUCUCACUAAGCGCCUACUGUGUGCCAGGCACUGUACCUGAACCAGGUAAGCAGGUGCAGCCAGGAAUCAAGACAACACAAAUGAGUUCUGGAAGUGAUUCAUGCUAGGACUGUACGCUAAGGCAAUGGGGCAGAAAGCCUGGGAGUGCAGUUUUUUUGUUUUUGUUUUUUGUUUUUUGUGUUUUUUUGUCACCCAGGUUGGGGUGCAGUGGCACAAUCACAGCUCAUUGUAACCUGAACUCCUGGGUUCAACCGAGCCUCCCACCUCAGCCUCCCAAGUAGUUGGGACUACAGGUGUGUACCACCACACCCGGCUAAUUUUUUUUAAUUUUUUGUAGAGAUCGGGGGGGUCUUGCUAUCUUGCCCAAGCUGGAAGUGCAGCUUUUAGACAAGGUGGUCAGGGAAGGCCUCUCUGAGGACAGACCUGUAAUCCCAGUUACUUGGGAGGCUGAGACAGGAGAAUCACUUGAACCCAGGAGGCAGAGGUUGCAAUGAGCUGAGAUUGCACCACUGCACUCCAGCCUGGGUGACAGAGCAAGACUCUGUCAAACAAAAAAAAAACAAAAACAAAAAAAAAAACACAAUAGAUCAGAGAUUAUUGGCAAAGCCAGAAAGCCAGGUGACCUAGGGGCUUAAGGACCAGAGGAAAGAUUUUGCUUUUACUCUAAGAAGAAUGAGGAGCCAUGGGAGGGUUUUGAGCAGAGGAGGGACAUGGUCUGUGUUAGAUUUAACAUGGUCCCUGACUGCUAUGGGCAGGGAAUGAUAGUAGAAGCCAGGCGAUCAGGGAGAACACUACUGCAGUAGUCCAAGCAAGUGAUGGUGGUGGCUUAGAGUGGAGCAGUGGAGGUGGAGAGAAGUGGUUAAGUAUAGAUAUAUAUUUAAUGGAUAUAUGUAUUAGUCCGUUUUCACACUGCUGAUAAAGACAUACCCGAAACUGAGAACAAAAAGAGGUUUAAUUGGACUUACAGUUCCACAUGGCUGAGGAGGCCUUGGAAUCAUGGCGGGAGGUGAAAGACACUUCUUACAUGGCAGUGGCAAGAGAAAGUGAGGAAGAAACAAAAGCGGAAACCCCUGAUAAACCCUUCAGAUCUCGUGAGACUUAUUCACUAUUAUAAGAAUAGCGUAGGAAAGACUGGCCCCCAUGACUCAAUGACCUCCUCUUGGGUCCCACUCACAACACGUGGGAAUUCUGGGAGAUACAAAUCAAGUUCAGAUUUUGGUGGGGACACAGCCAAACCAUAUCAUUUUGCCCCGGCCCCUCCAAAUCUCACGUCCUCACAUUUCAAAACCAAUCAUGCCUUCCCAACAGUCCCCCAAAGUCUUAGCUAAUUUCAGAAUUAACCCAAAAUUCCACAGUCCAAAGUCUUGUCUGAGACAAGGCAAGUCCCUUCUGCCUAUGAGCCUGUAAAAUCAAAAGCAAGCUAGUUACUUCCUAGAUACAGUGGGGAUGCAGGUAUUGGGUAAAUACAGCCGUUCCAAAUGGGGGAAAUUGGCCAAAACAAAGGGGUUACAGGGCCCAUGCAAGUCUGAAAUCCAGUGGGGCAGUCAAAUUUUAAAGCUCCAAAAUGAUCUCCUUUGACUCCGGGUCUCACAUCCAGGUCACGCUGAUGCAAGAGAUGGGUUCCCAUGAUCUUGGGCAGCUCCACUCCUGUGGCUUUGCAGGGUACAGGCUUCCUCCUGGCUGCUUUCACGGGCUGGUGGUGAGUAUCUGUGGCUUUUCCAGGCACACAGUGCAAGCUGUCAGUGGAUCUACCAUUUCAGAGUCUGGAGGAUGGUGGCCCUCUUCUCACAGCUCCACUAGGCAGUACCCCAGUAGGGACUCUGUGUGGGGGCUCUGAACCCCACAUUUCCCUUCUGCACCACCCUAGCAGAGGUUCUCCAUGAGGGCCCUGCCCCUGCAGCAAACUUUUGCCUGGGCAUCCAGGCAUUUCCAAACAUCUUCUGAAAUCUAGGCAGAGGUUCCCAAACCUGAAUUCUUGACUUCUGUGCACCCACAGGCUCAACACCACAUGGAAGCUGCCAAGGCUUGGGGCUUCCACCCUCUGAAACCACAGCCUGAGCUCUGUGUUGGUGCCUUUCAGCCAUGGCUGGAGCAGCUGGGACACAGAACACCAACUCCCUAGGAUGCACACAGCACAGGAACCCAGGGCCUGGCCCACAAAACCACUUUUUCCUCCUGGACCUCUGGACCUGUGAUGGAAGGGGCUGCCAGGAAGUUCUCUGACAUGGCCUGGAGACAUUUCCUCCAUGGUCUUGGGGAUUAACAUUAGGCUCCUUGCUACGUAAUGCAAAUUUCUGCAGCCGGCUUGAAUUUCUCCCCAGAAAAUGGGCUUUUCUUUCUAUUACAAUUUACUUCUUAUUUUUUUCUUUUCUUUUCUUUUUUUUUUUUUUUUUUUUUUUUUGAGACAGAGUCUUGCUCUGUUGCCCAGGCUGGAGUGCAGUGGUGUGAUCUCAGCUCACUGCAACCUCCGCCUCCUGGGUUCAAGCGGUUCUUCUGUCUCAGCCUCCUGAGUAGCUGGCACCAGGUGCACGCCAUUGCACAUGGCUAAUUUUUUGUAUUUUUGGUAGAGAUAGGGUUUCACCAUGUUGGUCAGGCUGGUCUUGAACUCCUGACCUCAGGUAAUCUGCCCACCUUGGCUUCCCAAAGUGCUGAGAUUACAGGCUUGAGCCACCGCUCCCAGCCUGCAAGUUACCUCUUGAAUGCUUUGCUGCUUAGAAAUUUCUUCUACCAGAUACCCUAAAUCAUCUCUCUCAAGUUCAAAGUUCCACAGAUCUCUAGGGCAGGGGCAAAAUGCCGCCAGUCUCUUUGCUAAAACAUAACAAGAGUCACCUCUGCUCCAGUUCCCAACAAGUUCCACAUCUCCAUCUGAGACCACCUCAGCCUGAAUUUUAUUGUCCAUAUCACUAUCAGCAUUUUGGCAAAGCCAUUCAACAAGUCUCUAGGAAGCUUGAAACAUUCCCACAUUUUCCUGUCUUCUUCUGAGCCCUCCAAACUGUUCCAACCUCUGCCUGUUACAGUUUCAAAGUCACUUCCACAUUUUUGCCUAUCUUUUCAGCAACACUCCACUCCUGGUACCAAUUUACUGUAUUCAUCCAUUUUUGCACUGCUGACAAUGACAUACCCAAAACUGGGAACAAAAAGAGAUUUUUUGGGUUUUUUUGUUUUUGUUUGAGAUGGAGUCUUACUCUGUCACCCAGGCUGGAGUGCAGUGGUGCAGUCUCAGCUCACUGCAACCUCCGCCUCCUGGGUUCAAGCAAUUUUCCUGCCUCAGCCCCCUGAGUAGCUGGGAUUACAGCUGCCACCACGCCUGGCUAAUUUUUUGUAUUUUUAGUAGAGGUGGAGUUUCACCAUGUUGGCCAGGCUGGUCUCGAACUCCUGACCUCUUUUUUUUUUUAAAUACUUUAAGUUCUACAGUACAUGUGCACAACGUGCAGGUUCGUUACAUAUGUAUACAUGUGCCAUGUUGGUGUGCUGCACCCAUUAACUCGUCAUUUACAUUAGGUACAUCUCCUAAUGCUAUCCCUCCCCCCUCCCCCCACCCCACGACAGGCCCCGGUGUGUGAUGUUCCCCAUCCUGUGUCCAAGUGUCGAACUCCUGACCUCUUGAUCUGCCCUCCUCAGCCUCCCAAAGUGCUGGGAUUACAGGCGUGAGCCACUGCGCCCGGCCAAAAAGAGGUUUAAUUGGAUUUACAGUUCCACGUGGCUGCGGAGGCCUCAGAGUCAUGGCGGGAGGUGAAAGGCACUUCCUACAUGGUGGCGGCAGGAGAAAAUGAGGAAGAAGCAAAAGCAGAAACCCCUGAUAAACCCAUCAGAUCUCAUGAAACUUAUUCACUCUCAUGAGAAUUACACGGGAAAGACCAGCCCCCAUGAUUCGAUGACCUCCCCCAGGGUCCCUCCCACAACACAUGGGAAUUCUGGGAGAUACAAUUCAAGUUGAGAUUUCAGUGGGGACACAGCCAAACCACAUUAAUAUAUAUUUAAGAUAUAUGUAAAAUUUGAUGAUAGGUUGCAUGUGGGGAAUGAGAGAGAGACAGAGAGAGAGGAAGGAAGAAAAGGAGUUAAGAAUAACUCCAGGGGCCGGGCACAGUGGUUCACGCCUGUAAUCCCAGUACUUUGGGAGGCCAAGGUGGGUGGAUCACGAGGUCAGGAGUUUGAGAUCAGCCUGGCCAAGAUGGUGAAACCCCGUCUCUACUAAAAAUACAAAAAAAAUUAGCCAGGCGUGGUAGUGGGUGCCUGUAAUCCCAGCUACUCGAGAGACUGAGGCAGAGAAUUGCUUAAACCCGGGAGGCAGAGGAUGCAGUGAGCUGAGGUCACCCCACUGCACUCCAGCCCGGGCGACAGAGCAAAACUCUGUCUCAAAAAACAAAAAAAAAGAAAAGAAGAAAAAGAACUCCAGGGCCAGGUAUGCUGGCUUACAUCUGUAAUCCCCGCACUUUGGGAAGCCGAGGCAGGAGGAUCACUUGAGCCUGGGAGUUUGAGACCAGCUUGGGCAACACAGGGAGACCCCAUCUCUACAAAUGAUAAAAAUAUUACCCAGGGCUGGACACAGUGGCUCACACCAGCAAUCCCAGAACUUUGGGAGGCCAAGGUGGGUGGAGACCUCGUCUCUACAAAAAAUAAAAAAUAAAAAUAAAAAGGACUCUCAACUUUUGGACCUAAGUAAUGGGAAAAAUGGAGAUUCGAAGGGAAAAAUCCAGAUUAGUCUUUUCAUCAAAUUGAGCUGGAAUAACUGGAUAUUCAUAUAGAAAAAAACAGCCUUGAUACUUACCUCAUGCCAUACAUAAAAAUUAACUCAAAAUACAUCAAACUCUUGCACAUAAAAGCUAAACUCUAAAAUCUCUAGAAGAAAAUAGGGGCUGCCAGGCACAAUGGCUCAUGCCUGUAAUCUCAGCACUUUGGGAGGCCAAACAAAGUGCGAGGAUCGCCUGAGUUAGUGACCAGCCUGGGCAAAAUAGUAAGAACCCAUCUCUUAAAAAAUUGUUUUUUAAUUAGCUGGGUGUGGUGGCGCAUGCCUGUAGUCCCAGCUACUCAGGAACCUGAGGCAGGAGGAUCGCUUGAGCCCAGGAGGUCAAGGCCGCAGUGAACUAGGAUCACGCCACUGCACCCCAGCCUGAACGACAGAGUGAGACCCUGUCUCCAAAAAAUAAGUAAAUAAGGUCGGGCACGAUGGCUCACACCUGCAAUCCCAGCAUUUUGGGAGGCCGAGGCGGGCAGAUCAUGAGGUCAGGAGUUUGAGACCAGCCUGGCCAACAAGGUGAAACCUCAUCUCUACUAAAGAUACAAAAAAUUGGGCCGGGCAUGGUGGCUCAUGCCUGUAAUCCCAGCACUUUGGGAGGCCGAGGCGGGUGGAUCACCUGAGGUCAGGAGUUCGAGACCAGCCUUACCAAUAUGGUGAAACCCUGGCUCUAUUAAAAAUAAAAAUAAUUAGCCGGGUGUGGUGGCGUGUGCCUGUAGUCCCAGCUACUUGGGAGGCUGAGGCAGGAGAAUUGCUUGAACCCUGGAGGUGGAGGUUGCAGUAGCUGAGAUUGCACCACUGCACUCCAGCCUGGACGACAGAGCGAGACUCUGUCUCAAAAAAAAAAAAAAAAUACACAAAAUUAGCCAGGCAUGGUGGCACAUGCCUGUAAUCCCAGCUACUCGGGAGGCUGAGGCAGGAGAAUCACUUGUACCCGGGAGGUGGAGGUUGCACCAAGCCAAGAUCGCGCCAUUGCACUCCAGCCUGGGCCACAGGGCAAGACUCUACCUCAAAAAAAAAAAAAAAGGAACUAAAAAUAAUAAAAUAGAAAAUCUUUACAACUUUAGGAUAAAGAUUUCUUAAGACUCAAAGAGCAUAAACUAGAAAAAAAUAAAAAUUGGACUUCAGUAGGUUGGGGGGUUUUUUUUGUUUUGUUUUUUUGAGACAGGAUUUUGCCCUGUUGUCCAGGCCGGAGUGCAAUCUCAGCUCACUGCAACCUCCAUCUCCUGGGUUCAAGCAUUUCUUCUGCCUCAGCCUCCCAAGUAGCUGGGACUACAGGUGUGUGCCACCAUGCCUGGCUAAUUUUUGUGUUUUUAGUAGAGACAGAGUUUUGCCAUGUUGGCCAUGCUGGUCUCGAACUCCUGACCUCAGGUGAUCUGCCGGCCUCACCCUCCCAAAGUGCUGGGGUUAUAGGUGUGAGCCACUGCAC
rnacentral:lncRNA from 1 species